rnacentral:lncRNA from 1 species
UAUGAUAUAGUGAUUGUUCAACUAUAUGUAUUGGUAUGCUAUAUUUACAUCCGGUAACAAUUUGUGCUUAUUACCAUGCUAAAAACAUGCAUAGAUACUGCUCAGGAUUUCAGAGUGCAGCGUGGUGUUUCCCGUUGAUAGUAAGUUGACUGCCAGUUUAAAAUCUCAAACUGUUUCCUGGGACAAAUUGUUAAAAUAUGGUUUUCACUACAAGUAAAGAUGACUGGAGUUAUUCUUUUUAAUUAUCCAAUUCCCUACCAUUGAAGGUAUUAGACAUAUCUUGUAUGUAUCACCUACUUUAUGAGAAUAUAGGGGUAUCGGUUGAGAAGUAUCAAAAUGUCUUUUUGUUAUUUGAUCAUGUACAUAUCUGUUCUGUUGUAACAGUCACAAAUGCUGCUUCACCUGAUGCUACAGGUUUAUGUCUUUAUUUAUUUUUCACCAGGCACGGGGAAGGGAAUCAAUGGUUUGUUGGAUUUUAUCAUGUGGGUUAUGAAGAUCCAUUGCUUAUGGUUAUGCGAAGGAAAACUGUUCAUGGUUAAAGUUUGCUAAUAUUAUUACGCAACAGUCUGUUCCUUGCACCUGUUUUGCAAGCUGGAUUGUACGAGAGAAUAUAUAGAGAUGAGAAGAUUGUCCAUUCACUUAUUUCUUCUAUGGAAAGGAGCAUCAAUGGUUUUUGCAUGUGCUUCCCAUUGCCUGGGCACUUGGUGAGAGGACUCUUUGAUGUUAUUCUUUCAAAUAAGCUUUGAUAUGACUAAGGUGCAAUCAAUUGAAGUUGUUUUGAAGAACCUGCACCUGAGGAUAUUCUGUUUUUCAUAGCUUGCAGCAGUGUGUAGAAUAAAGUUUGUACAUUUUGUGAAUCGUUUCUUUCAGUUUUCCAGCCCGUGAUGUUGGGCAGGGAGAGAUGGGGAUGGCAGCGCUGGGAAAAGAGAGAUGGCGGCGAAGGCGGCGGU